GCGGGCGUCGUAUAGCGGUUAAUAUCCAAGUUUUCCAAACUUGUGACGAGAGUUCGACUCUCUCCGCCCGCACCA
rnacentral:tRNA from 1 species